rnacentral:rRNA from 1 species
AAUGGGGGAAACCCUGAUCCAGCCAUACCGCGUGAGUGAAGAAGGCCUUCGGGUUGUAAAGCUCUUUCAGCCGGAAAGAAAUCGUGCAGGCUAAUACCCUGUAUGGAUGACGGUACCGGAAGAAGAAGCACUGGCUAACUACGUGUCAGCAGCCGCGGUAAUACGUAGGGUGCGAGCGUUAAUCGGAAUUACUGGGCGUAAAGGGUGCGCAGGCGGCGCCAUAAGACAGCUGUGAAAUCCCCGGGCUUAACCUGGGAAUNGCGCUUGUGACUGCAAGGCUCGAGUGCGGCAGAGGGGGGUGGAAUUCCACGUGUAGCAGUGAAAUGCGUAGAGAUGUGGAGGAACACCGAUGGCGAAGGCAGCCCCCUGGGUCGACACUGACGCUCAUGCACGAAAGCGCGGGGAGCAAA